rnacentral:lncRNA from 1 species
CGGACAGGAAGGUAGUAAAGAGAGGGUGGAUCAGUUGGAUAGGCAGGUAGUGGAGAUAGCAUGGAUCUACUGGCCAGGCAGGUAGUGUAGACAGCUUGGAUCUGCUGGCAGGCAGGUAGUGUAGACAGUGUGGACCUGCUGGACAAGCAGGUAGUGUUGACAGGGUGGAUCUGCUGGCCAGGCAGGUAGUGUAGAUAGCGUGGAUCUACUGGCCAGGCAGGUAGUGUAGACAGGGCGGAUCUGCUGGGCUGGGAGGUAGUGUAGACAGGGCGGAUAUGCUGGCCAGGCAGGUAGUGUAGAUAGGGUGGAUAUACUGACCAGGCAGGUAGUGUAGACAGGGCGGGUCUGCUGGACAGGCAGGUAGUGUAGACAGGGUGGAUCUG